rnacentral:lncRNA from 1 species
AAGUGCUCUAGUUUUAGAAUCUAAACUUAGGCCUGUAAUCCACUUUGAGUUAAUUUUUGUAUUUGGUCCAAGGUAUGGGUCGAAGCUCCUGUUUUUCUCAUGGUUAAUUGUUCCAUUACGAUCGCUGAAAAGACUGUCCUUUCUCCACUGAACUGCCUUUGCGGCUUAGUCAGAAAUCAACUGACCACGUGUAUGGGGUCCACCCUGUCCUAUUGAUCGACGCAUCUAUCCUCUUGCAAUACCACACUGUCUUGAUUAUUGCAGCUUCAUAGGAAGCCUUGAAAAUCAGGCAAUGCGACCUUCUAGCUUUGUUCUUUUUCAGAACUGAGUGGGUUUUUCCAGGUCCUUUGCAUUUCCAUGGAACCUUACAAUCAGCUUGACUGUAUUUUGACUAGGAUGGCGCGAAAUUCAUAAAUCAAUUUGGGGAAAGGAGGCGCAUCGUAACAACAUUAAGUCUCCGGAUGCGCAGUACAGCCUGUCAUUUCUGCAGGUUGCCUCUCGCUUCUCUCAGCAGUGUUUAGCAGCUCUCACGGCAGAAGCUUUACACACACUUAUCUAGCUUCAUUCUAAGGUAUCUGAUGUCUCCGAAGCUAUGGUAAAUGGUACUGAUUUUUAAAUGUCCUUUUUUUCUUAAUAGUUAGAAAUACAACUGACCUUGUAUCCUAUAGCCCUGCUGAAUUCUCUCAUUCUUUCAUGUGCAUAUAUAUGUGUGUGUGUGUAUAUAUAUAUAUAUGCAAAUCCACAGGAUUUGUCAUAAUCAAGUUGUUUGCAAAUACAGGUUAAAUUCUGGAGUUUGAUUACCUUGUCUGAAACUGCCAAGGAGAGGUGCUUCACAAUGAUUACAAAGUUUUCCAAAUUUCAGGGUGGAAAAAAACACACACCUUGGAGAAAAUUCAUGUUAACUGCACAAGCUGAGCUGGCACAAGGAUAACUCCGUUCUCCUGCCUUCCCUGUUAGAGCGACGCUCCCGCGCCCAGGAGGACGGGAGGCUGGCUCGCUGGGUGGCCGUCAGACGCCAUCGGGGAAUCUGGGCGGCAGUGAUAACUGGCACAGCUUCAAAGCCAUCCCCUCCACACACCACCCUCCUCCUGUGUUGGCCGUGCUGGCAACAAGCCUGGACGAGGCCGGCCUCCCGGGAGUGAAGCUCACAGCACCUCCACCCUCUAUUACCCAGAUACUUCCCAUAAGCUUCUGGGCACUGGACGUCUCUGGGCCUGGUGGCCACACUCUGACUGUUCACAUGUGAUUUUUCAAAGAGCUCCAAGGAGCGGGCCUGUGAAUAGCAUCUCUUCCACCAGCCCAAGAGCCACGUGACACGGUCUCAAGCACACGUAACCGACAACCCAGCGAUAACAAACACACAGCAGUGUUCACGAGGUGAAACUAAGGGCCCUGCUUGAACACGGAGGCAGCCCCAAGUUCACCACGUUUACGCCUCGAUGCCUGAAGUUCACGGAAAUGAGGAAACAGAUCGGCUGACCAAAGACUUGACAAGGGAUUGGGUUUUCAAUGUAUUUCUGCCACCGUCUGACCUUUUUCCCCUCCUGCAACCUUAUAUAAUUUGACUGAAGUGCUGGGCUGCGUCUGUGGUGUCAACGGCUAGGAUCUGUCCAAAGUUAAUUAGUGCCUCCAUCAUAGGAGUCAAGUCAUUAUUUAUCACGCUAGGGUUCCUGCCCAAUCGUUUCAGACGUGAUUUCUUUACUAGGAGGCAGGGAGACUCGAUAUGGGUGUGUUAUAUGUAUAUAUAUAAUUUUUUAACGGAGAAAUAACUCUCGAGCCCUCCGCUGCCGUUCUAUCAAACGCAAGGCAAGUGAUUGCUGAGUUCCCAAUUAUGUUCAACCUUAAAUCACGCUGUUUGGUCUGGUUGUAUAUCCAGCCCUUCAGGGAUUUGUGCAAAGGCAUAGAUUUGGCAAGCUUUCAAACCACGGCUACAAAACAUGUGCUGAAGAAAAUGAUUCAAAAUAUUAAGAAAGCAGUCGUUUAUUUUAGAAAGCCUGUUCACGUGAGACAAUAAGCUGCUUCCCAGAAUAGGUUCCAUCCAUCAGGAAAAUGCACUGGCUGGAGCUUGCCUCUCAGCUGCCAUUCUGCAGCACUUCCUAUUUAUUACCCAGGGUCCAUCUACGAUGGACAAGGGGCCGGGCACCCUGGCACGGUGGUAGCUGGGCAAGCCCUCCCCAACCCUGAAGAAGCACCCCAGGCACAGAUGAGGUGCUGGGCCCUAGAGGCCUACCGGUUUCCCCUACGGAUGCCCAGGAGGGUGCGUGGUGGCACACAUGCAGAGGAAAGGAACAGAAAGCCGGAGCGUCCUGGGCUGGGCCUGGACCAACUCUCGCUCCGUGGAAAGUCAGCAGCUCAAACAGAACCAACCAGGGUCUCUGUGUCAACCAGGCAGCUGUUGUCAACCAGGAGGCCUGCUCUGUGCCCAGAGGCCAGUGAUCCCUCGGGAGGGUCAGGCUGGCAGGGCCAGUCAAGCAUGGCCAAUUGAAGCAAAGGAAAUUCCCACUGGAGAUGAGAUGCUGGAAAAUCUCUUCCUGGUAUCUCUCUUGAACCCUUGACACCUGCUGAACCACCCUGAGGGGCCAAGUCCCAAGCCAUUUCCGCCAGAAGAACUAUUCCCGGUGGCUGCUCAUUCCCCACUGUCUCUAAGCCUUAACGUAUCUGCCCGGAAGGUAGAGUUUACAUGGCCUCCGUCCAUCACCACAACCUGAGGAAUAGGCAACAGAUGAACCCAGUGAAAGUAUCCAUCAUAAGUAGCCUCAUCGAAGCCAGAACACACUCAAAUUUAACAAAUAUUUCAUUUCUCAACCAACUUUAAGAAAUGUCUAAUGAGCCAGCCACAGUACUAAGACCAGCAAUAGAAAACUGCAUUUUAUUAACUGAACCACUGGAGUCUCAACCUUCCCAAAGGCAACAACUUUGAAUUGGUGGGUUUUUUGUUUGUUUGUUUUUUCACAUACCACUAAGCACAGCAUCUGCAGUGAAGAGGAAAGGUAUGGACUAGUGGUUAACCAGAAAUUUCUGCAAACAGCCAAGAGAGGACAUACAGGAAAAAAAAACAAACAAGCAGCUUGUGAGCAGGAGAUCAUUUGGGUUCUUUAAAGGCUGAGCGAUGAGGGAGGAGAAACGGUGCUUUUCCCUAGCUGGCAUCCAAGCCAGUGACACAACAGGUGUGUCCAUCCAGAGGGCCGACCUUACUUCUUCAAGCUGGAUCUGAGGGCCUGGUCUGUGUCAUUUUCAAAUAAUAACAGGAACUUGGAGUUCCCCUUGUGGGUCAGCAGUAAUGAACCCAACUACCAUCCACGAGGACACGGGUUCGAUCCCUGGCCUCGCUCAGUGGGUUAAGGAUCUGGCGUUGCCGUGAGCUGCAGAGUAGGUCACAGACGCACCUCAAAUCCUGAGUUGCCGUGGCUGCGGUGUGGGCCGGUGGCUGUAGCUCCGAUUCGACCCCUAGCCUGGGAAGUCCCCUAUACAGCUCUCCGGAGUUCUACCCCCAGUCCCCGGCCAGCACACUUGAGACCAAAGUCAGCGCUUCGACAGGCAGCGGGGUUGGGGGGGGGGAUGUGUUUGAGAUUCAGUGAAUUGGAAACAGGAUUCUCUUCUCCCUAAGAAGUUGAACAUCAAGGGCUUAAUUAACGACUCAGCAUCGUCACCAACUUUCUAGGUAUCAAGAGACUUAACAGCAUUUUCCUCCUAAAAAUCUAAGCUGUCACUGGGAGAAAAACCAAGAAAGCUAAAAGCUACCCACCAAGGUUCGGAUUUCUGCAAAUACGGGUCUCUCGGUAGACUUGCCCCCUCCCCCGGAUGACGGUAAAGAUAGAACAUGCCCCCGUCCUGCUCAAGAGGAAGAUGCCCCAGGAGAAAUCAGAGGAAGGGAGGCCUGGCUCGCAGCUGGACCAAGGGAGUUCAAGUGCAGUCUCUGGCAAGGGCAGCAGAGCUGUCCAGUCCCGCUGCCCCGGCAGAGAGGCAAACCGCACUGGUGGGCUCCUGCUGAGAGCCAAGGGCACUGGCAACGCUGACUCUUCACCUGGGCCCUGGGGCGUCGGGCAGGUGGAGAACCACAGUCACAUCCGUCCGGGGACACAGGCGGACUCUGCGGAAGUGCUGCCGUUCUGUGACUCCCCAUCGUGCACUUUUGAGGCCUAAGGGCAAGGUUUGGAGCAGCUUCUCCAGGCCACCGGGGGACGAGGGCUUCGGGACGGCCCUUCCAGAUGCCCAGUGAAACCAGGUCAGCACUCCCCUUGGGUACCAGUGAGCUUCCUCUCCUGUAACCAUGGUUAUCAGUGACGCUCUGUGCGCUUGGACACAGCGGAGGAGACAGGGUCACUGCCCUAAAAGAGCUUGCACUCCAGUGGGGGGGGCGGCGAGGAGAAGAAGCAAACACUGCAGACGGUGAUAAGUGCUCUCCUAACCCACAGAGGCUGCCACAGGAUCAAGCAAUGGGGGGCUCUGCUGGGUUGGGGUAUCCGGGGAGGGCCUCUUGGGAGCAGUGACAUGUGAGUGGCACUGGGGGUGAGGGGAGCUCAUCCGUGUAGAGGAAACAGCCAGUGCAAGGGGAACAUGCGUGGUGUGCUCGGGGCCGAGAGCGUCAGGGUGCCCGGGAGGAAGAAGGGACGGGACCGUGCAGGCGGCCGGCAAGCAGACGGGUGCCAGCUCACUGGGGGUUCCAGCAAGCUGGUGACCACAUCCCAGGUAUGAUCUGAAUAGCUCGCCCCAGCCCCUCACUGGGAGCCAGAAUGGAGACCAGGGGUCCACCGGGGAAAAGGCGACGGAUGACCAGGCAAAGGAAACGAGGGGACCGUGGAGACGGGCGAAGUG